rnacentral:rRNA from 1 species
ACUCCUACGGGAGGCAGCAGUGGGAAUAUUGCACAAUGGGGGAAACCCUGAUGCAGCCAUGCCGCGUGUGUGAAGAAGGCCUUCGGGUUGUAAAGCACUUUCAGCGAGGAGGAAAAGGGUGUGUGCUAAUACCAUACAUCUGUGACGUUACUCGCAGAAGAAGCACCGGCUAACUCCGUGCCAGCAGCCGCGGUAAUACGGAGGGUGCGAGCGUUAAUCGGAAUUACUGGGCGUAAAGCGCAUGCAGGUGGUUUGUUAAGUCAGAUGUGAAAGCCCGGGGCUCAACCUCGGAAUUGCAUUUGAAACUGGCAGACUAGAGUCUUGUAGAGGGGGUGAGAAUCCAGGUGUAGCGGUGAAAUGCGUAGAGAUCUGGAGGAAUACCGGUGGCGAAGGCGGCCCCUGGCACAAAGACUGACGCUCAGGCACGAAAGCGUGGGGAGCAAACAGGAUUAGAUACCCUGGUAGGCUCU